GAUGAACGCUGGCGGCGUGCCUAAUACAUGCAAGUCGAGCGAAUGGAUUAAGAGCUUGCUCUUAUGAAGUUAGCGGCGGACGGGUGAGUAACACGUGGGUAACCUGCCCAUAAGACUGGGAUAACUCCGGGAAACCGGAGCUAAUACCGGAUAACAUUUUGAACCGCAUGGUUCGAAAUUGAAAGUCGGCUUCGGCUGUCACUUAUGGAUGGACCCGCGUCGCAUUAGCUAGUUGGUGAGGUAACGGCUCACCAAGGCACCGAUGCGUAGCCGACCUGAGAGGGUGAUCGGCCACACUGGGACUGAGACACGGCCCAGACUCCUACGGGAGGCAGCAGUAGGGAAUCUUCCGCAAUGGACGAAAGUCUGACGGAGCAACGCCGCGUGAGUGAUGAAGGCUUUCGGGUCGUAAAACUCUGUUGUUAGGGAAGAACAAGUGCUAGUUGAAUAAGCUGGCACCUUGACGGUACCUAACCAGAAAGCCACGGCUAACUACGUGCCAGCCGCCGCCGUAA
rnacentral:rRNA from 1 species